rnacentral:rRNA from 1 species
GAUGAACGCUGGCGGCGUGCCUAAUACAUGCAAGUCGAGCGAACAGACGAGGAGCCUGCUCCCCUGACGUUAGCGGCGGACGGGUGAGUAACACGUGGAUAACCUACCUAUAAGACUGGGAUAACUUCGGGAAACCGGAGCUAAUACCGGAUAAUAUAUUGAACCGCAUGGUUCAAUAGUGAAAGACGGUUUUGCUGUCACUUAUAGAUGGAUCCGCGCCGCAUUAGCUAGUUGGUAAGGUAACGGCUUACCAAGGCAACGAUGCGUAGCCGACCUGAGAGGGUGAUCGGCCACACUGGAACUGAGACACGGUCCAGACUCCUACGGGAGGCAGCAGUAGGGAAUCUUCCGCAAUGGGCGAAAGCUUGACGGAGCAACGCCGCGUGAGUGAUGAAGGUCUUCGGAUCGUAAAACUCUGUUAUUAGGGAAGAACAAAUGUGUAAGUAACUAUGCACGUCUUGACGGUACCUAAUCAGAAAGCCACGGCUAACUACGUG